ACGUAAUCCACAGGUCCCCGAGGUGAAGUGACCCAAAUCGCUCUAUGUCAGUCUCCGUCUUCCUUUCCUCAAGUCCUGGAGGACUCUCCAAGCCUUUUUCUUCUCCAUUCCUGUCACAAAGCGAAAUUCCGCGCUUCCACCAGCAUUUCUCCCAUUCACUGCCACAGCAGAGGUGAAGACCAAAAGCCGGGACUGGAGUCUCCUCAGGAUAAGCCCGGUGCCUUCGCAGCCGCAGUCAAAACCAUAUUAUCUAUGUUAAGUUAUAAUUUGUAUGAUCCUGAGAGGCACUCUGCAGUUCCCAGUAACAGGAGUAUGAACUAUGAGUAUUAAUGCGAUACCACUGCCACUCUGAAUUGUUUCCGGUUAACGCUGUGCAUCUGCAGGAUGAUUUCUGAGC